rnacentral:rRNA from 1 species
AGCGAACGCUGGCGGCAGGCCUAACACAUGCAAGUCGAACGAACUCUUCGGAGUUAGUGGCGGACGGGUGAGUAACACGUGGGAACGUGCCUUUAGGUUCGGAAUAACUCAGGGAAACUUGUGCUAAUACCGAAUGUGCCCUUCGGGGUAAAGAUUUAUCGCCUUUAGAGCGGCCCGCGUCUGAUUAGCUAGUUGGUGAGGUAAAGGCUCACCAAGGCGACGAUCAGUAGCUGGUCUGAGAGGAUGAUCAGCCACAUUGGGACUGAGACACGGCCCAAACUCCUACGGGAGGCAGCAGUGGGGAAUCUUGCGCAAUGGGCGAAAGCCUGACGCAGCCAUGCCGCGUGAAUGAUGAAGGUCUUAGGAUUGUAAAAUUCUUUCACCGGGGACGAUAAUGACGGUACCCGUAGAAGAAGCCCCUGGCUAACUUCGUG